rnacentral:rRNA from 1 species
GACGAACGCUGGCGGCGUGCUUAACACAUGCAAGUCGAACGGAAAGGCCCCUUUCUUGCUACUCUAGUGGCGGACGGGUGAGUAACACUUGCGUAACCUUCCCUUGACUUCGAGAUUACUUCAGCUACCUGAGGCCAAUACCAGUGCGGAAUCCUUUCUACAUCCUGGUGGUUCUAAAGCUUCCGAGGGUUUGGAUGUACUCGCUGCUUAUCAGCUUGUUGGUUGGGUAGUUUCUUACCAACGCUUUGUCGGGUAGCCGGCCUGAGAGGGCGACCGGCCACAUUGGGACUGAGGUAAGGCACAGAUUCCUAAGGGAGGGAGAAGGGGGGAAUACUGAACAAUGGGCGGAAGCCGGAUGAAGAAGGGCCGCGGGCGGGAUGACGGCCUUAGGGUUGUAAAACGAUUUCAGAAGGGGCGAAGCUUGUGGUGACGGUACCUGAAGAAGAAGCACCGGCUAACUACGUG